ensembl:misc_RNA Metazoa_SRP Metazoan signal recognition particle RNA
UCGGCAUCAAUAUGCUGACCUCCCGGGAGCAGGGGACCACCAGGUUGCCUAAGGAGGGGUGAACCGGCCCAGAUUGGAAAUGGAGCAAGUCAAAACUCCCAUGCUGA